AUGUGUAACGUCACUGUUUUCUGCUACGUUUGUUAUUCAGGUCCAGUAGCCAGUGGUUCUUUGCGGAAUUGUUCAAAAGGACAUUUUGAGGUGCUUGUCCAGAUGUGCUUAUUUCUCUUCAGUGACAGGUCAAUCAUAUAUUUCUUUCAUCUAAACUUGUGCUUUGUUAUCUACAAACUAAUAGGUCGUUCUAUCUACAUACUAUCAUGCCAUGAAACUGUGAUAGGUUUGUCCCUGUUUUUGAUUGUGUUGCCAAAUCAUUUCAAAAUAUGUCCUUCAUACAGAGUUAGAAUAUUUUAA
rnacentral:rRNA from 1 species